rnacentral:rRNA from 1 species
GAUCCUGGCUCAGGAUGAACGCUAGCUACAGGCUUAACACAUGCAAGUCGAGGGGCAGCAUGGUCUUAGCUUGCUAAGGCCGAUGGCGACCGGCGCACGGGUGAGUAACACGUAUCCAACCUGCCGUCUACUCUUGGACAGCCUUCUGAAAGGAAGAUUAAUACAAGAUGGCAUCAUGAGUCCGCAUGUUCACAUGAUUAAAGGUAUUCCGGUAGACGAUGGGGAUACG